rnacentral:rRNA from 1 species
GACGAACGCUGGCGGCGUGCUUAACACAUGCAAGUCGAGCGGUAAGGCCCCUUCGGGGGUACACGAGCGGCGAACGGGUGAGUAACACGUGGGUGACCUGCCCUCAGCUCUGGGAUAAGCCUGGGAAACUGGGUCUAAUACCGGAUAUGACUCCAUGACGCAUGUCGUGGGGUGGAAAGCCUUGUGCGGCUGGGGGAUGGGCCCGCGGCCUAUCAGCUUGUUGGUGGGGUGAUGGCCUACCAAGGCGACGACGGGUAGCCGGCCUGAGAGGGCGACCGGCCACACUGGGACUGAGACACGGCCCAGACUCCUACGGGAGGCAGCAGUGGGGAAUCUUGCGCAAUGGGCGAAAGCCUGACGCAGCGACGCCGCGUGAGGGAUGACGGCCUGGUGUAAC